AGAAAGAUUUUAUGUCACUACAGCUCUCAGUAGUUCAGUCUAAGAACCAUACUGAGAGUCUCUAGGAGUUUGUACAAGGUGACAUGCUUGAGGGGGACAACAGGCACCUUUGUGGAGAGUUUCAAGAGAAGAGGGACACUUUAAAGCGUACAUGCAUCAAGACUCCUC